rnacentral:rRNA from 1 species
GGUGCUGAUAGAGUUGAGGGUACACCUGUUCCCAUUCCGAACACAGAAGUUAAGCUCAAUUUCGCCGAAAAUACUUGAGUGGUGACGCUCCGGGAAGAUAGG